CGUGAGGCGCUGCGUUCGAAGGGAGGAACUCUGCUCUUCACGGGAGCAGGCAGGGAGCCGCUAGGAAGGGCAGCCCCGCGGUGAGGGGCGCGGAGCGGAGGCCGCCUGCUGCCCUGGGGCUGGGGCUGCCCAGCGCCCCUCCGCACAGUGGAGGGCGAGAGCCCGGCCCCAGCGCGAUGGCUCUCGCCGGCAGGACGGCGAGGUGGUGGGCCCGCCUGCGGAGCCCCUGCCCUGCCGGCGCCCCGCUCUGCCUUCCGCCCCGGCUGCCCGUGGGGCCUGUGGCCUGCGAGCGGCUGUACAGCUCCCACGGCCAGGAAAAAUUAGAUAUGUCGAUGUAUCCUGUGGAAAGCAUUAGAAACUUCAGCAUUAUAGCUCACGUAGAUCAUGGCAAAAGUACGCUAGCAGACCGAUUGUUGGAAAUCACAGGAACAAUUGCUAAAACUGACCGUAACAAACAAGUGCUGGAUAAACUGCAAGUGGAACGUGAAAGAGGAAUUACAGUUAAAGCACAAUCUGCAUCUCUCUUUUACAAUCAUGAUGGAGUAAAUUACCUCUUAAAUCUUAUUGACACACCAGGCCAUGUAGAUUUCAGCUAUGAAGUAUCACGAUCGCUGUCUGCCUGUCAAGGUGUCAUACUUGUAGUGGAUGCAAAUGAGGGUAUUCAGGCUCAGACAGUGGCAAACUUCUAUCUCGCUUUUGAAGCACAGCUUGCAAUAAUUCCUGUCAUAAAUAAGAUUGACUUGAAGAAUGCAGACCCUGAAAGAGUUGAAAAACAAAUUGAGAAACUCUUUGAUAUCCCUAUAGAUGAAUGUGUAAGGAUUUCUGCUAAACAAGGAACAAAUGUUGAAAAAGUUCUUCAAAAGGUCAUUGAGAAGAUUCCUCCACCCCAAUGUAAAACUGCUGAUCCAUUAAAAGCCUUAGUAUUUGACUCCACCUUUGACCACUACCGAGGUGUCAUAGCUAACAUUGCACUCUUUGGUGGGGAGAUUCAGAAAGGACAUAAAAUUGUGUCUGCACACACAAAGAAAAGAUAUGAAGUGAAUGAAGUUGGAAUUCUGACUCCGAAUGAACAGCCAACACAUAAGCUAUAUGCUGGACAGGUGGGCUACGUGAUUGCUGGAAUGAAAGAAGUAACAGAAGCCCAAAUAGGAGACACGCUGUUUUUGUAUAAACAGCCAGUGGAGCCUUUGCCUGGCUUUAAGUCAGCGAAGCCAAUGGUUUUUGCAGGAAUGUAUCCUAUAGAUCAAACAGAAUAUAAUAAUCUCAAAAGUGCUUUGGAAAGGCUGACAUUGAAUGACUCCAGUGUAACUGUUCAUCGUGACAGCAGCCUUGCCUUAGGAGCAGGAUGGAGGUUGGGUUUCCUUGGUCUUUUGCAUAUGGAAGUUUUUAAUCAACGUUUGGAGCAAGAGUAUAACAUGUCUGUCAUUUUGACUGCACCUACAGUUCCAUAUAAAGCUAUUCUUUCCUCUGCGAGGUUGAUAAAGGAAUAUGGUAAAGCAGAGGUUACUAUUAUCAACCCUGCACAGUUCCCUGAUAAGCUUUCAGUAUCUGAGUACUUAGAGCCAACUGUUCUUGGCACUAUUGUAACACCUCAAGAAUAUAUUGGGAAAAUAAUUGCUUUGUGUCAGGAUCGUAGGGCAGUCCAGAAGGAUAUGUUGUACAUUGAUGAACGCAGGAUUAUGCUAAAAUACCUCUUUCCACUGAAUGAAAUCGUGGUGGAUUUUUAUGAUGCUCUUAAGUCUCUGUCUUCUGGUUAUGCGAGUUUUGAUUAUGAAGAUGCAGGAUACCAGGCAGCAGACCUUAUCAAAAUGGAUAUUCUUAUAAAUGGAAAUCCAGUUGAAGAACUGGCAACAAUCGUACACAGUGAUAAGGCACAUACUACUGGUAAAUUCCUGUGUGAACGUUUAAAAGAUGCUAUACCUCGACAAUUGUUUGAAAUAGCCAUCCAGGCUGCUAUUGGCAAGAAAAUCAUUGCAAGAGAAACUGAAGCCACUGAGGCAAGGGACACCAGAGCGAGGGAUCAUGCUGGUGGACCCCUUCUGCAGCAGCUAAACUGCAAGGAAACCCUCUGCAAAACCGAGGAAGGAAGGCGAGAGAGUGCGAGGGAGUCAGUCCCAGCCCCUGUCCCUGGGCAGGGAGUGAGAGCUUCUGGGGAGCGGCAGCUCUGACUCACCGUGGGCAGAGGCAAAGAGAUGGUGGCGUGAGCCCCUCAGGUAGAAGAGCAGCCCCUGGGGAGCGCAGCGACCAGGAGUAGGCAAACAGGGCCUGGCGCGGCAGUUUGCGCAGGCAGGGUGCACAGGCAGAGCGCGUGAAGCAGGGCACAGGCCUCCUCUUGGCUCAAGGUAAGAACUCUGUCUUAGGGUGGAGGCUUCAUGAGAAGUAGAGGAUCCUCUGCCUUCCUGUCACCUGGCAGAGGUAGGGGACCUGAGACAAGAGGGGAACUGGAAGUGGGUCCCUGCUCGAGGCAACAGGUGAACCCACUCCCGGCUUCCCUCACCUUCACGUGUGCCCUUACAGAACAGGUAUGUGGCCCUGGAUCAGGAAAAUCAGGUAACUGAGGUUACUGACAAAGGUCUGUCCAGGGAGUUGCCGAGGCAGUCUGCCCCAUGCAUUAGGACUGCCUCUACUAAGAACAAAAGGAAGGUAGUUGUAGGAGAUUCUCUUUUGAGGGGAACUGAGGGAUGAUCUUUCAAGGUCCCUUCCAACCCCUAAAAUUCUGUGAUUUGGCAGUAGAAAAAGUUUCUUUCUACUGAAAAAAAAUAGAUAAUUGUGGAAUAGUUUAAUCUCUGGGAGAGUCAGCAAAAAAAAUACUGAACUAUGCUAUUCUAAAGGAAAUGCAUUGCAAGCUGAACGCGCAGCUAUUUCUUAGCAGCACUCACUUAUUUUAGAGCAAACUGGUUCCUUGAUGUUGUGUUUCAUGACACAUUUUUUUCUGGUGCUGUUAAAUAGGAUUUAAAUUGUGGUAAAAGAUUAAAGGUAGGGAUCCAAGCAGGGGUGCUGUGAGAAUUUGGGUGUACAUACCUAUGUUCAUGUAUAUGUAACACUUACUGAGAGUCAUAGCAGAAAUCCUAGUCAAAAAGACACAAUUGUAAUUUUUAUGUAUAUACAUCCCCAAAGGGUUAUUUCUAGAACUGAGAAAUGUAAAUAAUUUUAUUUAGAACUUUGUCUUCUCUGUACAGAAUUUCAAAAUGUCAUUAUUCCAAAAUAUCAUUAGUCCAUUAUUAUAAAACUAGUAAAAAAUAAACAUUUAGCCUUUUGACAACUUGAUAUUUAUCCUCACAUAUAGGAGAUGUUCUAAUGUGUUAACAUAUACAUGUUGUUUUAUUUUACAGGCUGAAAGCAUACAGAAAAAAUGUUGUGGCAAAAUGUUAUGGUGGAGACAUUACAAGAAGAAUGAAGCUUUUAAAGAGGCAGGCAGAAGGGAAGAAGCUG